rnacentral:tRNA from 2 species
GGAGGGGUGGCCGAGAGGCUGAAGGCGGCGGUUUGCUAAACCGUUAUACGGGUAAUUCCGUAUCGUGGGUUCGAAUCCCAUCCCCUCCGCCA